AGGAUUCAUAACUUUAGAGCCGUUCCUCCCGGGCCGACAUAUAGGUGCGCUGGCCGCAAGGAUUGCCUAGAUGAUCAAAAGUGCACUAACUAUUGCACUUUUUUCGGAUAUGAUAAAGGUGGUAGAUGUGUUGGAUACGAUCCACAAUCUAAGAUGUGUUGUUGUAUUAUGUAAUGUUACUGUACUUUUUAAUACACCUCUGAAUGAAUAAAACACAUACAUGAGAUACUUUUGAAACUUUGGAAAACUUUUAUUACUGCGUGGUGAAAGUUAAUGAAAU
rnacentral:lncRNA from 1 species